rnacentral:lncRNA from 1 species
CCAGACAGACGUUGACUCGGACGUUGAUAUGGUAGAGAAUAAUCAGAACUUCGAAAUAGAGAAUGCUGAUGCACUGGAAAAUCCAGAUGGUCAAGAAAUCUUCGAUGCACCAGGAGAAAGGAAAAGAAGAAUAACACCCGAUCAAAGUCAAUGGAUAAGAGAAAGAAACAAAAAUUUACGUGUGCAAGGUGUAGCAAAUUUUAAUUCUCAACAUGGAUGCCAAAAGUGUACCAUUGUUGGAGAGUACUCCCAUAUAAUGCACACUAAUUACUAUCCCAAUAAGAAAUUUUCAAAAAGAACUGAUGAACAAUUUCGCUUGAAGACAGAUACAUACCAUCAUAAAACUGACUCUGUGAUCUUGAAACUUCCAAUUAACAUGAUAGAUUGUUUUCCAGUAGCUGACCCUCUUCAUUUGAUAGAUUUGGGAGUAAUGAAACGAUUGUUAACAGGUUGGCGUGAUGGUACGUAAUAAAUCCUUAAAAUGGCCUGCAAAAGUAAUGGAAAGUGUAUCAAAGCAGAUGCUAAAUAUAAAGUUACCCAAAGAGCUUCAUAGAGCGACUAGAGGGCUUGAUGUUUUGUCCUACUGGAAAGGAUUGGAGUAUAAAAGUUUUCUUUUGUAUAUCGGAAUUACUAUUUUAAGAGAUGUACUAGCACCUCAUGUUUAUGAACACUUUCUUGGUUUAUUUUGCGCUAUAACAAUUUGCUCGGAAUAUCUCCAUGUUGCUGAAGCAUUAUUAGACCGCUUUGUUUAUUGUUAUUCAAGUAUAUACGGUAAAUACUUUAUUACGAGUAACAUCCAUAAUGUAACACAUUUGAUAGAUGACGUUAGUGCUGGGAAAUUUAACAAAAUUUUCCGCCUAUCCUUUUGAAUCAAAAUUAUAUGAAAUUAAAAACAUGAUAAGAAAUGGCAAUAACCCGUUGGCUCAAAUAGCAAACCGGCUGAGUGAAAAGCAAAGUUUUGAUCUUUCCUUUUUAUCCAUGUUUAAAAAAUGUGACGGAUGAUGCUUUUCUUCGUAAUAGUAUUAAACCAGGUGAAACUACAACUAUCUUUAAAUAUAUUUUUUUUGAAGGGUUUUGUCUUGGCGGUGGUGAUGAAAAUAGAUGGUUUUUAACUAAACAGAAUGAAAUAGUGUACUUUGAAGCUCUGAAUUUUUGAACUUUGAAGUCUUUUUACUAUACAGGAGAAUGAUUUCCAUUUAUCUUUUGGAGCGGAGCUUUCAUCCAAUACGGCACCCAUUUGUGACUUUGGAGGCCACCAUAACGUUCCAUCUUUCUCCCACCCUGCUUGGGACUGCUGAUAUACAUAUCGUUCCCCGUUCUAUAAUUUGGACCACUUUAAAUGGCAUUUUCUAAAAUAAAAUAUUGCUUAGGUAACUUAGGUUACAGUUUGAUCCAAUAGGUUUUCCAGUACCUAAUCAACUUAAUUCAAUCUAAAAUACUAUUACAAAGACAAAAAUGUAGUGUUAAUACAAGGAUUAAAGUAGGUAUGAUUGCUCACGGUAACUAAAAACAUACCAAAAUAUGAAGUUCAAUACUAUACAAUUUUUAAGUUUUAAAUAUUUAAAAAUCUGCUUUUUAUAUGUAUUAUAUUUUUGUAUUUAUUAAAUUUACUAAUAAAAAAAUCCAAAAUUUAUAAAGAAUAUAAACCUAAAGAUAAAUUACCUUUAUUGUUGAAGCUUUUUUUUUUAACUUUAAAAAGUCAAUACCUUUUUAUGUACCUAAAUACAGCCCUGUAUGCAUUUUGAACGAUAAAAAAACACACUUUUAUUUUCACAGUAACUGGAACCACCAAAACCAAACGCAAACUAAAUUGCAAUAAAGAAGACUCAAGAAAUCCCGCGUAGUAAUAAAUAAUGCCAAUAGAUCCUACUAAAUGCCUAAAAGCCAUUUAUUGAAAUUCGCCCAGACUUUGCGAGCUAAUUGGUUAUUAAAAAUGGCCUAUAAGUCCUGGAAGAUGCUAGUUAGCCCUGUUUUAGCUUUUUUUAAAACCCACUGGCAUUUUUUUAAGACUUUUGUCCUAUGACAUAGCUUUUGAUACUUACUUAAGUUAUUAUAGCAGCUUAAAAGCAUAUCCUGCUAGGCGUCCAUUUUGAAGAAAAAAUUUAAUUCUUCCAUUUUUAUAAGCUAUUCAAAUACAGGCAAAAAUAAUGUAAUAUGUAAACAAUUUAGAUAAUAUAUAAAGACACUGGAGCAUUUAAGUACAUAUUAUCGCUAAAGCAUCUCAGAAAUAAAAAUUAAUUAUUUUUUUAUUUUUUUAUUGCCACUGAAUAAUGUUUAAUUUGUAAGAUAUCAAAGGCGCGCGUGUUUUACAGUGAAAUUACACCCAACUUUUUCAAGAAACUGGUGUGCGCAAUGAAAAUCGGUCAUCUAUUCCAGUAUAAUAUAUUUUUUUCUAAAAUAAAGUAAUACUUAUAACCUCUUUAGGGCUGGGCCUUUUUUUACUACAGGAGGUUAUGCGGGCUAAUAAAUAACGUUGUUUGUGCUUAAUGGCAUAAUCAAUAAUUUUUCUUAAACCGGUUCUAGGAGUUAUUUAUAACCUUUUUAGAACCUAAAUUGUUACUUGGGCAAUAUGCAUAGUCAACAAUGUAAAAUUCCUGCAAGUAAAUUUAAACACUUGCAAGUGUUUUGCCACGAGAUGUCCAUCACUUGUACAUAAAUGUCCUAAACCUCCCUCUAACACUGGUCAUAUGACUCGCCAGGUUAACGAUUUUCCCUUACCAAUCCCUACAUCCUCCCUCACGAAGAACUCACUUAUAUACCUCAGCAAAAAAAUUUACGACCAUGUUCCUCUAUGUAUCAGACAAAUUUUAGAAGUUAAGAGAUUCAAAAAGGAAUUAAAAUCACUUUUAUUAUCCAGGGCAUAUUAUAGCCUUGACGAUUUUUUUAAUGAUACCUUUUAACCUGUGCUCUGACAUCAUUUUAGUGUUUUAGUUUUGUUU